rnacentral:rRNA from 1 species
AGGACAACGCUGGCGGCGUGCCUAAUACAUGCAAGUUGAACGCAACAAAGACACCAGAGCUUGCUCUACCGUUUUGUUGAGUAGCGAACGGGUGAGUAACGCGUGGGUAACCUGCCUUAUAGCGGGGGAUAACUAUUGGAAACGAUAGCUAAUACCGCAUAACAAUAGAGAUUGCAUAAUCUUUAUUUGAAAGUGCCAACUGGUACACUAUGAGAUGGACCCGCGUUGUAUUAGCUAGUUGGUAGUGUAAUGGACUACCAGGGCGAUGAUACAUAGCCGACCUGAGAGGGUGAUCGGCCACAUUGGGACUGAGACACGGCCCAAACUCCUACGGGAGGCAGCAGUAGGGAAUCUUCGGCAAUGGACGAAAGUCUGACCGAGCAACGCCGCGUGAGUGAAGAAGGUUUUCGGAUCGUAAAACUCUGUUGUUAGAGAAGAAUGUUGAUUAGAGUGGAAAAUUAAUCAAGUGACGGUAUCUAACCAGAAAGGGACGGCUAACUACGUG